CCUAACGUUCAGCUGAAAUCUGCUUCUCUGCAGUUUCCACUGGCUGGUUCUAGCCCUGUCCCUCGGAGCAAGAAAUAAACCUGCUCAAUCCUUCUGCAUGACAGAUAUUUGAAGACCACUAUCACAUCUCCCUUCUUUUCUCUGGGCUAAACCUUCUUUUCUCUAGCUGUUCCAGGCAUUCCUUAUAGGAACAGUUUCCAGGCUCCUGGGGUGGGGGUAAGAGAG